rnacentral:rRNA from 1 species
AUUGAACGCUGGCGGCAGGCUUAACACAUGCAAGUCGAGCGGGGUGAUGGUGCUUGCACUAUCACUUAGCGGCGGACGGGUGAGUAAUGCUUAGGAAUCUGCCUAUUAGUGGGGGACAACAUCUCGAAAGGGAUGCUAAUACCGCAUACGUCCUACGGGAGAAAGCAGGGGAUCACUUGUGACCUUGCGCUAAUAGAUGAGCCUAAGUCGGAUUAGCGAGUUGGUGGGGUAAAGGCCUACCAAGGCGACGAUCUGUAGCGGGUCUGAGAGGAUGAUCCGCCACACUGGGACUGAGACACGGCCCAGACUCCUACGGGAGGCAGCAGUGGGGAAUAUUGGACAAUGGGGGGAACCCUGAUCCAGCCAUGCCGCGUGUGUGAAGAAGGCCUUAUGGUUGUAAAGCACUUUAAGCGAGGAGGAGGCUCUUUUGGUUAAUACCCAAGAUGAGUGGACGUUACUCGCAGAAUAAGCACCGGCUAACUCUGUGCCAGCAGCCGCUGUAA